GACGAACGCUGGCGGCGUGGAUUAGGCAUGCAAGUCGCGCGACGGACCUUCGGGUUACGGAGCGGCGAACGGGUGAGUAACACGUGAGAAACCUACCGCAUCAUUCCGGAUAAUUGGUCGAAAGGCCUUGUAAUACGGGGGAGGUUCGUUGAUGGGCAUCCAUUGACGAACGAACGAGCAAUCGGUGCUGUGAUGGUCUC
rnacentral:rRNA from 1 species